GCGGAAGUAGCUCAGGGGUAGAGCACAACCUUGCCAAGGUUGGGGUCGCGGGUCCAAAUCCCGUCUUCCGCUCCA
rnacentral:tRNA from 2 species